rnacentral:rRNA from 1 species
CUACGGGGGGCUGCAGUGAGGAAUAUUGCACAGUGGGGGAAACCCUGAUGCGGCAACGCCGCGUGGAGGAUGACGCAUUUCGGUGUGUAAACUCCUUUUAUCAGAGAAGAAGAUGACGGUAUCUGAUGAAUAAGCUCCGGCUAACUCCGUGCCAGCAGCCGCGGUAAUACGGAGGGAGCAAGCGUUAUUCGGAAUCACUGGGCGUAAAGGACGCGUAGGCGGGUUAGAAAGUCAGGUGUGAAAGCCAACAGCUCAACUAUUGAACAGCACUUGAAACUCCUAACCUAGAGUAUGGAAGGGGCAGAUGGAAUUAGUGGUGUAGGGGUAAAAUCCGUAGAUAUCACUAGGAAUACCGAAAGCGAAAGCGAUCUGCUGGGACAUUACUGACGCUGAGGCGUGAAAGCGUGGGGAGCAAACAGGAUUAGAUACCCUCGUAGUC